rnacentral:rRNA from 1 species
GAUGAACGCUAGCUACAGGCUUAACACAUGCAAGUCGAGGGGCAGCGGGGUAGCAAUACCGCCGGCGACCGGCGCACGGUGAGUAACGCGUAUGCAACUUACCUAUCAGAGGGGGAGUAACCCGCGAAAGUACGGACUAAUACCGCAUGAAGCAGGGAUCCCGCAUGGGAAUAUUUGCUAAAGAUUCAUCGCUGAUAGAUAGGCAUGCGUUCCAUUAGGCAGUUGGCGGGGUAACGGCCCACCAAACCGACGAUGGAUAGGGGGUUCUGAGAGGAAGGUCCCCCCACAUUGGUACUGAGACACGGACCAAACUCCUACGGGAGGCAGCAGUGAGGAAUAUUGGUCAAUGGCCGAGAGGCUGAACCAGCCAAGUCGCGUGAGGG